rnacentral:tRNA from 1 species
GGGACGUUCGUCUAGUGGCUAGGAUGAAGGGCUCCAGACCCUUUGAUCAAGCGUUCAAAUCGCUUACGUCCCA